UACGGGGGGGGUAAGCGUUGUUCGGAAUUACUGGGCGUAAAGGGCUCGUAGGCGGCCAACUAAGUCAGACGUGAAAUCCCAAGGCUUAACCUUGGAACUGCGUCGGAUACUGGAUGGCUUGAAUUCGGGAGAGGGAUGCAGAAUUCCAGGUGUAGCGGUGAAAUGCGUAGAUAUCUGGAGGAAUACCGGUGGCGAAGGCGGCAUCCUGGACCGACAUUGACGCUGAUGAGCGAAAGCUAGGGGAGCAAACGGG
rnacentral:rRNA from 1 species